AACAACAUACAUGAUAGGUGCAUGAAGAAUCUAAAAUUCACUGCUAGAAAAAAGUAGAUAUCUCAUCAGAUAUCUCUAGGACUCAUCCUCUGACUUGCUAUUGGCUGUCGCUGCAGUAGCCCUCAUCCGAUCUCUGAGUUAAGGAUAAUUUUUGGCUAGAUGCCCCAACUCAUCAUAUCGAUAACCUCUGAUCUUACUCAAGUCUCUCAUCUUGAACUUGGACCACC
rnacentral:lncRNA from 1 species